rnacentral:tRNA from 1 species
AGCCCUGGUGGUGCAGUGGUUAAAUGCCUGUACUGCUGCCAACCACAAGGUUGCGAGUUCAAUACUAGCCAGGCCUG